rnacentral:snRNA from 1 species
GUGCUUGCUUUGGUAGCACAUAUGCUAAAAUUGGAAAGAUACAGAGAAGGUUAGCAUGACCCCUGUGCAAGAUGACAUGCAAAUUAGUGAAGUGUUCCACAUUUUA